rnacentral:rRNA from 1 species
ACGAACGCUGGCGGCGUGCCUAACACAUGCAAGUCGAGCGGGAUCCAAUCGGUAGCAAUACCGAGGAAGAUCUAGCGGCGAACGGGUGAGUAACACGUGAGAAACCUGCCCUGAAGUCUGGGAUAACCCGAGGAAACUCGAGCUAAUACCGGAUGCCUUCCACUGAUCGCAUGGUCUGGUGGAAGAAAGAUUUAUCGCUUCAGGAGGGUCUCGCGGCCUAUCAGCUAGUUGGCGGGGUAACGGCCCACCAAGGCAUCGACGGGUAGCUGGUCUGAGAGGACGAUCAGCCACACUGGGACUGAGACACGGCCCAGACUCCUACGGGAGGCAGCAGUGGGGAAUAUUGCGCAAUGGGCGAAAGCCUGACGCAGCAACGCCGCGUGCGGGAUGAAGGCCUUCGGGUUGUAAACCGCUUUCAGUGGGGACGAAUUCAGACGGUACCCACAGAAGAAGCCCCGGCCAACUACGU